UACGUAGGUGGCAAGCGUUAUCCGGAAUUACUGGGCGUAAAGGGCGCGUAGGCGAUUUUGUAAGUCUUGUGUGAAAGCCCAAAGCCUAACUUUGGAAGUGCACAAGAAACUGCGAGAAUUGAGUUCCGGAGAGGAAGAUGGAAUUCCCGGUGUAGCGGUGAAAUGCGUAGAUAUCGGGAGGAAUACCGAUGGCGAAGGCAGGUCUCUGGGCUGACACUGACGCUCAUGCACGAAAGCGUGGGGAGCAAACAGG
rnacentral:rRNA from 1 species